rnacentral:sRNA from 1 species
CCAGCCGCUGAGAAAAGGGUUGGUCAUGCUGGGAGCGCUGUCUUUCGGCGCUUCCGUAUCCAUGUUGCUUCAAGGAGGAUAUGGCUAUGGCAA